GUUAAGGUCUAGGUUAUAGGUUAAGGUUUUGGGAUUUGAGAAUAGGUUUCGGUUUAGGUUAUAGGUAUAGGUUUAGGUUAUAGGUUAUAAGUAUAGGUUAUAGGUUAAGGUUAAGGUCUAGGUUUAUGUUAUAGGUUAAGGUUUUGAGAUUUGAGAAUAGGUUUAGGUUAAGGUUAUAAGUUUAGGUUUAGGUUAUAGGUUAAGGUUUAGGUUUAUGUUAUAGGUAUAGGUAUAGGUUAUAGGUUAUAGGUUAAGGUUAUGGUCUAGCUU